rnacentral:snRNA from 1 species
GGCUGUGAGGGUGAUCUACCUGCAACAUCUGUCACCCCAUUGAUCACCAGGGUUGAUUCGGCUGAUCUGGCUGGCCAGGCGGGUGUCACCUUCCUCCCUCACUGCUCCACGUGCCUCCCUCCCAAAGCUGCGUGCUCAGUCGAAGAGGACAACCUUCCCCGAAUACAGGAGGACUGGUCUUCGGUCAGGAGUAUACAAGCAGCUGCGCUCCCCUGCUACAACCUCCAAACAAGCUCCCAAGGGCUGGGAUUAAAGGCGUGU